UUUACUUACUCCGUGAAUCGGA
rnacentral:snRNA from 1 species